rfam:Setaria italica strain Yugu1 chromosome IV, whole genome shotgun sequence.
GAGCAGGUGUUGAUAACCUAUCUUAAUUCUGAUACAUUUGAUGUCUCAAAAUUGAGCUUUUUAAAACUGAUGCCCA